rnacentral:rRNA from 1 species
GAUGAACGCUGGCGGCGUGCCUAAUACAUGCAAGUCGAGCGAACGGACGAGAAGCUUGCUUCUCUGAUGUUAGCGGCGGACGGGUGAGUAACACGUGGAUAACCUACCUAUAAGACUGGGAUAACUUCGGGAAACCGUAGCUAAUACCGGAUAAUAUUUUGAACCGCAUGGUUCAAAAGUGAAAGACGGUCUUGCUGUCACUUAUAGAUGGAUCCGCGCUGCAUUAGCUAGUUGGUCAGGUAACGGCUUACCAAGGCAACGAUGCAUAGCCGACCUGAGAGGGUGAUCGGCCACACUGGAACUGAGACACGGUCCAGACUCCUACGGGAGGCAGCAGUAGGGAAUCUUCCGCAAUGGGCGAAAGCCUGACGGAGCAACGCCGCGUGAGUGAUGAAGGUCUUCGGAUCGUAAAACUCUGUUAUUAGGGAAGAACAUAUGUGUAAGUAACUGUGCACAUCUUGACGGUACCUAAUCAGAAAGCCACGGCUAACUACGUG